UCGUAAAUUGAGUCCCAAAUGUGUCGGACGUGUGAGAGGUUAUCAAAAUGUUUUGGUUUUAUUUCGUUGUUUGUAUAUUUUUUGUCAACGUACAAAGUGAUUGGGGACCUUUCCAGGCGUUGUUGUACUCUGAUUUGAUAACUUGUAACCACAACAAACAAGUAGACCUCGAUAUAAGAGACACUAUGGUAUAUUUCUACGACUUCAAAAACAAUUUAAACGUAAGCUA